rnacentral:rRNA from 1 species
UGCUACCUACGGGGCGCAGCAGUGGGGAAUAUUGGGCAAUGGGCGCAAGCCUUACCCAGCAAUACCGCGUGAGUGAAGAAGGUCUUCGGAUUGUAAAGCUCUUUGAUCAGGGACGAACAGAUGACGGUACCUGAAGAACAAGCCCCGGCUAACUACGUGCCAGCAGCCGCGGUAAUACGUAGGUGGCAAGCGUUAUCCGGAUUUAUUGGGUGUAAAGGGCGUGUAGGCGGGAAUGCAAGUCAGAUGUGAAAACUAUGGGCUCAACCCAUAGCCUGCAUUUGAAACUGUAUUUCUU